CCGCAGCGGGUACGCGCAUCUCCCGCAGCCGGCGGGGAACGAGCCCUCCCGGGUAAUGAACCCCGCCGUUAUCCCGCAGCCCUGUGGAGAACGAGCCCUCCCGGGUAAUGAACUCCCCGCCGUUAUCCCGCAGCCGGCGGGGAACGAGCCCUCCCGGGUAAUGAACUCCCCGCCGUUAUCCCGCAGCCGGCGGGGAACGAGCCCUCCCGGGUAAUGAACUCCCCGCCGUUACCCCGCAGCCCGGUGGAGGUGGAGGUCGAGCUCUCCCCGCGAGGGACCGGCACCCAGCCGGGAGCGCCGGGGACACGAGCCAUCCCGGCCAGGAAAUGCUCUGGGAAAGUCUUUUCCCGGCUGGAGGUGGGGCUGCGGGGGACGGGCUGGCCAUGGCCACGCGUUCUGCCCACAGGAUGCUGCGCUCCAGCGUGAGCAGGAUGCGGAUUUAGCUGAUGCAGAACAACGCACCCUCCCUGGCUGGGAGGGGAAGAGUCGCCAGCUUAAACACCAUCGCUCGCACAGCCUGACCUUAGCACCUGCCUGCCUCCUCUGACAGCAAAAAAAAAAAAAAAACAAAAAACGAUUUAAAAAAAUGCUUGCCUACUGUAAAGGAAAAUUGAGGCUGUUUCUUAAAAUUCGUGUGCCCCAGUGCCUCAGUUUCACAGAGGAACCACUGAUUCCUCUCAGCACGGGGCUUUUGCAUUGUAAGUUACAAACAGAAGCAGCACUGAGAAGCCCUCCAGGCUUUAGUCAUCUUCUACCAGAGAUCUUCAAACUGUACCAGAUUAUUAGGAUCACAGUACAGAAGUGACUCAGUGGUACCUGCAUUUCCACCUUCUAAUCCCAAGAUUUAAGGUCUUCAGUACACUUUAUAGCUCUUUCAGUACCCUUCAGUGGGUACUGGUCUAGUGGGCAGCAUCCCUGCCCACGGUGGGGGUUGGAACUAGGUUAUCUUUAAGGUCCCUUCUGGGGGGGUUAAGGACCCUUCAGGAUCUUUACGGUCCCUUCCAAACCAACCCUUCCAGCCUGAGGCCAACACCCCUCUAGCUCCUCUCCAGCAUUCAUGGCUCCUCUCCUCAGCUCCUGAUGCCUGCCCCUCACAGCAUCCCUGUCCAGCUGCUGGUCAUGCGUGGGGUGCUCUUAGAUAUUCUGAGUGCAAAAUCACCGCGUUAUUAAGGCUGAAAAUCACUGGAUUCUCCAGGGAAUGUGUCUCCCCGCUGUGGGACUGCCAAUCUGCCCCGUACUGCUGAGUCACCAGGAUGCUUUCCUUGGAAAGAAUGAAUUGGCAGUUUCCAGACUGACUUCUGUGACCCUGCUCGGUAUUUGUUGUUUCCGUUAUGUUGAGCACAGCAUGGAAAUAACGGUCUGACAAAUAAACACGUUGCUGCAGGAAUGCUCCCUGAAACAAUGCCAUGUUAAAGACCGUUUUCCAAGAAAGAGGGCUCCAUUUCCCCCUAUUCAUCCUGCCAGACAGAUCCAUGUAAAGUUUUCUCCUUAUCUGCAGGCUGAUGUUCCUCUUCACAAGGUUGCCUGGCACAAGGCCUGGGGAUGCAGAUGUUGUAGACUGAGUCAGACUAAUGCCAAUAAACAGCCACUUCAGGUGCCAGCAGCUCUGCCCUUCGCUCUCCCCAUCCCUCUGGGGGUCCUGCCUGGGAUGUUCAUGCUUUCCUGUCUCCCCAUCUCACCCAAAGCUACCCCUGAGCAUGGUCAGGUCCUCACCUUCCCUGGACACAGCUUCAGGUGGAGCACUCCAGCAUGCUGCCAUGAUAAACAGUGAUUUAAAAAUCAGUAACACGGGAAUUGGUCUUAAAUUAUGCUAUUUUAGUUAAUUUCUCAUGUAACUGCUUAGCAUCAAAAAAGCUUUUCUAAGUUUCCUCUUUCAUCUAUGCUGCUGAGCCCCAGAGGAGGUAGGAUGGAGCUAGAGAUAUUUCUUUGUGAAAGAAUGACAUGUUGGUUGCAUUUAAGCCAGAACAGAAGUAAAUUAAACAUCUAGAUCAUAAAAGUACCAGAGGAUGUUUUAAAACAGGUUCUUUGCAGCACUGCAUUAGUUGACUGUAGAGCCUUACUGUGUAAUGAGUAAUAUAUUAAUUUAUAAUUAGCAUAGUACAGUGAAGCUCAGCAAAUAGCUCUGUGCACUCUGGAUAAUUCAUCAACAGAAGAAGUGGUUCUUAAUGGUUUCCAAGGUUUGUAUGUCCCCUGUAAUUGGGAAGUUCAGCAUUUAUUGUUAUUCCUUUGAAGGGAUAAUUUGAUUGCAAGCACACAUCUUUAUUCCCUGUCUGUUUCUGCUGGAGUGCAGAGAAGCCUUUGGAGCGUUGCUGCUCUGGGUAUCUCUGUGACCUCUCUGCAGGUGAGCACAUCAUUGUUUUGCAGAGCAGAUGACCUGGAUUUGGUGCAGAUUCUCAGAGGGUUUUACCCUUUCCCUGCUGCAAAGGGGAGGGGGGAAGGGGGCACAUUAACCUCCUUGGGUCUCUUGGCUUUUCCCCCUCUGCAGCUUCAAAAUCUUCCAUACAAUUUUCAUAUCUCUCAAGGGAUCUUCAUUCACAAUUCUGCUCUCAAAGUCUUCAGGAGCCUCCUGGUCUCAUUUAAUAUUACCUGACAGUAGAAAUACAGAAGACAAAGAAUAAAUGUAUUACAGUAACUCACUGGAAUUUACGGAGCCUUUGGGGAACUUACUUUUUAAUUUGGAUGCUCAGACCCACAUUCCAGAGGAUGCAGGGAGCAGGACCUCUCCCUGCUUUUGCAGCAGUGCCCAGAGAUCCUAUGCCUGGACUGCUGUUUUGGCAGGCUGGGAAUCUGCACUGAAAUCCCCUGUUGUCAGCAAAACCUUUUAAAAAGGGAACAAAAUCCUCAGAUGCUGGUACUCGGUGCUGAGAGAGCCUGGAGGCACUGGGGCCUCAUCAGAUGAAGGAAAUAAAUAAACUUAAACUGAAUUAAGAUCAUAAUUCAGUGAUCCACUGAAAACAGGGUGUGAUAAAUCUUCCCCAGGAAUAAAAUGUCAGGAGUUCUGCUUUUUCCAGCUUUAAUAAAAUAAUUUCUACCCUUCUGCCUAUUAUCAACUGCAGAUAAGGUGAUUGCACUGAGCAUUAGAAGCCUUCUAACACGUGCAUCUGCCUUUGCAUGACCAUUUGCCCCUAACCCUUCUUGUAGCCCAAGCCCCAAUCCACGUGUUUUCAUCCUGAAAAAGAAAUAAUGCUGGUUGCUCACCUGGAAGGUACAGAAGGAUUCCAGGCAUGGGACAAAUUUCUUACAUGGGAGCAGGAUUUAUCACUAAGGAUACCUCAGGAAGUGUUGCUAGGGUUUUCUUGGGCCGUUCCUUUCCAAACUUGGCUUGUUAUGGAUACUGGAAACUUGGGUGCUCUCAUCCAGUGCUGCUGGACACUCAAUAAGAAGUCAGGAUGAUGAUGAGAAGGAAUUUCUAUGUUCACUUCCAGCUGAAUUUAAAUUAAACCAGUUUUACUGAAGUCUUAAUUCCUCCACUGCAUUUAAAUGCUGUGAUCUGGAAAGCAACAAGUUCAUAUUUCUGUAUCAUACAUCAAUAAAGAGCUAGAGUUUUUUACACUUCCUUAUUAAAUAAUCUGGCCUAAUUUAAUUGGAAUUUGGCUGGUGUGGAAAAUAGCUCUGAUUUAAUUUGCUCUUGAUUGUUCCACUAAAACUUUGUGAUCUGAAAGUAGUGUGUUUGUAUUUACUUAUCGCAGCACUAGAGACCUGCAUUGGCAGGCUCUCGAUCAAAUUACCUGAUGAAUAUAAACAGCAGAUUUAAUUUAGUUUCAUAUUGAUUGUUGUCAUUAUUAUUAAAACCCUCUGAUCUGAAGAAUGA